UACGUAGGGUGCAAGCGUUGUCCGGAAUUAUUGGGCGUAAAGAGCUCGUAGGCGGUUUGUUGCGUCGGCUGUGAAAACCUGAGGCUCAACCUCAGGCCUGCAGUCGAUACGAGCAGACUAGAGUGUUGCAGGGGAGACUGGAAUUCCUGGUGUAGCGGUGAAAUGCGCAGAUAUCAGGAGGAACACCGGUGGCGAAGGCGGGGUCUCUGGGGCAACAACUGACGCUGAGGAGCGAAAGCGUGGGGAGCGAACAGG
rnacentral:rRNA from 1 species